AAUCAACGCUGGCGGCGUGCCUCAGACAUGCAGGUCGAACGCGAAAGUUCCCUUCGGGGAGCGAGUAGAGUGGCGUACGGGUGAGUAACACGUAGGUAAUCUACCUUUGGGUGGGGAAUAACAGCCGGAAACGGCUGCUAAUACCGCAUAAUGCAGCGGCUCGACAUCGAGACAGUUGUUAAAGCGGGGGAUCGCAAGACCUCGCGCCUAAAGAGGAGCCUGCGGCGGAUUAGCUAGUUGGUGGGGUAAUGGCUCACCAAGGCAUCGAUCCGUAGCCGGCCUGAGAGGGCGGUCGGCCACACUGACACUGACAUACGGGUCAGACUCCUACGGGAGGCAGCAGUCGGGAAUUUUGGGCAAUGGGCGAAAGCCUGACCCAGCAACGCCGCGUGAAGGAUGAAAUCCCUCGGGAUGUAAACUU
rnacentral:rRNA from 1 species